rnacentral:snoRNA from 1 species
AACCCAUGGUGAGGGCACCUUCUCAAUAAAUCAUUGUAUCUCUAUCAUGCAUCAUAUAAUGUUUCUAAAUCCGUCUGCACAAAAAAGCGAUAUCAUUCCUCAAUUU